AAACCAAAAUUUGUUAGAUUAAAUGGGCUAAGCACAAUUUAAUCCUAAUAAAUUUUAUGUGCCCACAAUUAAUAUUAAGAGAUUAAUAUCAUCUUAAAAACCAACGUGGAGGGAUCUCAACUUAAAUAGGCCGCUAUAAGAGAGCACAAGUUGCGCAGUUAAUAUGGUGGUGGGAUUGCCACACGUGCGUGCGUGGUGAGCUUGAGCCAAGGGCAUGGCGUGGCUGGCUGCUACUCUAGCUAACAUUAUGUUUUGAUGGAAAACAUAACCGACGGAGGCACUCAUUAUUCCAUUACUCCUUGAUUCUUCUGUUCCUGCGGUUAACAGACAGAAAAUUCUAUCGGGUUGAUUCACCGACGGAUGCGCUCGUUACUCUUUGAUUCUUUUGUUCCUGCGCUGCGCUUAACUGAUCGGGAGUUCAAUUGGAUUGAUUCUUCUAUUCCUGUAUUAUGCAUGCCUCUGUAUCUCAUUGUUUUUUCCAUUGCUACGCUUAACGGCCGGGGAAGAAUUCAAUCGGAUUGAUUCUUCUGUUCAUGCGUUGCGCUUCUAUAUCUCUGGUAACCGCGGCGUUGCUCUUCUGUAUCUCUGGUAACCGACGGAGGCGCUCAUAACUCCAGCAGCAACGGAUGCGGAAUUGAAUCGGAUUGAUUCUGUUGUCACUCCUGUAACGGAUGAAGAAUUCAAUCUCGAUUUGAUUCCUUCCGGAAUGUUACUCUCUCGCGCACUAUAUAACUCCUACCUCCGAGAUAGACAGAGUAGAUACAACUCCUCUCUUCAUCCUCUCACUCUAUUUUCUUCUUGGCAAAACACUUUGUGUCUUCUGUUCCUGUGUUGCGCUUCUGUAUCUCGGUUCCAAGCACCCGCCCGCAUAGGUUCUCAGGACGAGCGCCUCGGGAUAUCCGUCCGCUUGAGUACCUCCACAGUUUGGCAUGCGAUCAAGUUCUUGGAGAGUUCAUUGACACACGACUGCUCUCUGCACUGCAUCGUUUACUUUCUUUGCAUCGACAUGUCAACCGGCGUCGGCAAUGGUUGAGAUGGCGGCAACGGCGACAAUGCUGGAGGUGAUGGCAACGGCACUAGUGGAGGCCAGAACGGCAACACCGAUGGAUGCAUCAACACUAACACUGCCUCAUCCAGUACCAUAGCGUUCUCGGGACAACCGAACGACCUUUCUCGCCUGAGGAGGAGGCUAAGUUCGAGUCUGCAGAUUGCUUGUUCCGUGGAGCAUUGAUCAAUGUAUUAGCUGACAACAUAAUGGAUGUGUACAUGCACAUGCCUUCAGGGAAGGACUUCUGGGAUGCAUUUGAGGUCAAGUUCGAAGUCUUCGAUGUUGGCAGUGAGUUGUAUGUCAUGGAGCAGUUCUAUGACUACUAGAUGGUCGAUGUCUGUUCUGUAGUAGAACAAGCUCUUGAGAUUCAAAUACUGGCAAUGGAUCUUGAGAACAAUAGCUGCCGAACAAGUUCAUGGCAGGUGGCAUUAUUACCAAAUUGCCACCUUCUUGGUCAGACUUUGCCACUUCUCUAAAACACAAAGAGGCAAGAGUUCAAUGUUACUGAUAUCAUUAGUUCUUUGGGUGUUGAGGAUAAGGCGAGAGCAAAGGACAACCGCGGCAAAAAGGUCGAGAGAACUCUUAUGCAUCUCAAGAUAACAAGAAGAUUUCAAACUUAAUACUACAACCAAUUUUAAGAAGAAA